UACGGAGGGUGCAAGCGUUAUCCGGAUUCACUGGGUUUAAAGGGUGCGUAGGUGGGCAGGUAAGUCAGUGGUGAAAUCUCCGGGCUUAACUCGGAAACUGCCGUUGAUACUAUCUGUCUUGAAUAUCGUGGAGGUAAGCGGAAUAUGUCAUGUAGCGGUGAAAUGCUUAGAUAUGACAUAGAACACCGAUUGCGAAGGCAGCUUACUACACGAUCAUUGACGCUGAGGCACGAAAGCGUGGGGAGCAAACAGG
rnacentral:rRNA from 1 species